UACGAAGGGGGCUAGCGUUGUUCGGAAUCACUGGGCGUAAAGCGCACGUAGGCGGCUUCUUAAGUCAGGGGUGAAAUCCUGGAGCUCAACUCCAGAACUGCCUUUGAUACUGAAGAUCUUGAGUUCGGGAGAGGUGAAUGGAACUGCGAGUGUAGAGGUGAAAUUCGUAGAUAUUCGCAAGAACACCAGUGGCGAAGGCGGCUCACUGGCCCGAUACUGACGCUGAGGCACGAAAGCGUGGGGAUCAAACAGG
rnacentral:rRNA from 1 species